GCGGACAUAGCUCAGUUGGGAGAGCGUCAGACUGAAGUCAACUUCACUCAUAUAAAAUCUGAAGGUCGUGUGUUCAAUCCACACUGGCCGCA
rnacentral:tRNA from 1 species